rnacentral:rRNA from 1 species
AGACAGCUAGGAGGUUGGCUUAGAAGCAGCCACCCUUUAAAGAAAGCGUAAUAGCUCACUAGUCGAGUCGGCCUGCGCGGAAGAUGUAACGGGGCUCAAACCACACACCGAAGCUGCGGGUGUCACGUAAGUGACGCGGUAGAGGAGCGUUCUGUAAGCCUGUGAAGGUGAGUUGAGAAGCUUGCUGGAGGUAUCAGAAGUGCGAAUGCUGACAUGAGUAACGACAAUGGGUGUGAAAAACACCCACGCCGAAAGACCAAGGGUUCCUGCGCAACGUUAAUCGACGCAGGGUUAGUCGGUUCCUAAGGCGAGGCUGAAAAGCGUAGUCGAUGGGAAACAGGUUAAUAUUCCUGUACUUCUGGUUACUGCGAUGGAGGGACGGAGAAGGCUAGGCCAGCUUGGCGUUGGUUGUCCAAGUUUAAGGUGGUAGGCUGAAGUCUUAGGUAAAUCCGGGGUUUCAAGGCCGAGAGCUGAUGACGAGUCGUCUUUUAGAUGACGAAGUGGUUGAUGCCAUGCUUCCAAGAAAAGCUUCUAAGCUUCAGGUAACCAGGAACCGUACCCCAA